AGCUCGCCCAGCCGCCGCUGCUAUCGCAACCCUCUCUCAGCCGCCCGCUUCUCCCUCCCACUGGGUGAGAGCGAGAGGAGUCGCGCCGGCGAGCGAGCUCCCCCGCCGCGAUGAGGGCCAAGUGGAAGAAGAAGCGGAUGAGGCGGCUCAAGAGGAAGCGCCGAAAGAUGAGGCAGAGAUCCAAGUAGAUUUGCCUCGUCCGUGCUUUGGAGUCUGCAGUUCGGUGGCAAUUUACUGAUCAAUUCUAGUUUUCAUUAGUAUAAGAAGGGGUUGUGUAAUGUAUCUGAAACCAUUGCGAGCAGCGUGUCUGUUUUGUGAUGAAUACAAUGGUCAUCUAAAAUUCCGAAUAUGGUUCCGAGACAUUUUUCAGAGAAUAAUCUUCGCAUGGCAUGUUUGUUUUUA